rnacentral:tRNA from 1 species
UCCCCUUUGAUGCAGUGGUUAGCACGCUCCUAGUAAUCCGUUGCUCUCGGGCCGGACCAGAACAGAAAUUGAGGUUAACUCAAAGGAGAAGCCCGGGUUCAAAUCCCGGAAGGGGAA